rnacentral:rRNA from 1 species
AACGAACGCUGGCGGCAGGCCUAACACAUGCAAGUCGAACGCCCUGGCAACAGGGAGUGGCAGACGGGUGAGUAACGCGUGGGAACGUGCCCUUCGGUUCGGAAUAACUCAGGGAAACUUGAGCUAAUACCGGAUACGUGCGAGAGCAGAAAGAUUUAUCGCCGAAGGAUCGGCCCGCGUCCGAUUAGCUAGUUGGUGAGGUAACGGCUCACCAAGGCGACGAUCGGUAGCUGGUCUGAGAGGAUGAUCAGCCACACUGGGACUGAGACACGGCCCAGACUCCUACGGGAGGCAGCAGUGGGGAAUAUUGGACAAUGGGCGCAAGCCUGAUCCAGCCAUGCCGCGUGAGUGAUGAAGGCCCUAGGGUUGUAAAGCUCUUUCGCCAGGGACGAUAAUGACGGUACCCGGAUAAGAAGCCCCGGCUAACUUCGUGCCAGCAGCCGCUGUAA